CACGUAGGGGGCGAGCGUUGUCCGGAUUUAUUGGGCGUAAAGAGCUCGUAGGCGGUUCACUAAGUCGGGUGUGAAACCUCCAGGCUCAACCUGGAGACGCCACCUGAUACUGGUGUGACUAGAGUCCGGUAGGGGAGUGUGGAACUCCUGGUGUAGCGGUGAAAUGCGCAGAUAUCAGGAAGAACACCAGCGGCGAAGGCGGCACUCUGGGCCGGUACUUACGCUGAGGAGCGAAAGCGUGGGUAGCAAACAGG
rnacentral:rRNA from 1 species